rnacentral:rRNA from 1 species
GGAAUAUUGGACAAUGGGCGCAAGCCUGAUCCAGCCAUGCCGCGUGAGUGAUGAAGGCCCUAGGGUUGUAAAGCUCUUUCACCGGAGAAGAUAAUGACGGUAUCCGGAGAAGAAGCCCCGGCUAACUUCGUGCCAGCAGCCGCGGUAAUACGAAGGGGGCUAGCGUUGUUCGGAUUUACUGGGCGUAAAGCGCACGUAGGCGGAUCGAUCAGUCAGGGGUGAAAUCCCAGAGCUCAACUCUGGAACUGCCUUUGAUACUGUCGAUCUGGAGUAUGGAAGAGGUGAGUGGAAUUCCGAGUGUAGAGGUGAAAUUCGUAGAUAUUCGGAGGAACACCAGUGGCGAAGGCGGCUCACUGGUCCAUUACUGACGCUGAGGUGCGAAAGCGUGGGGAGCAAACA